CAGUGUUGGAGAGGCAAAGGCAGG
rnacentral:piRNA from 1 species